AAUAAAUAAUUUGUACAAAAAAUGAAAUGCUUUUUCCAGACCGUCUCUUCCAUGAAAAAGAAAAAUACAAAGCAAUCUGCGAUGAUUUGGAUUCAACAUUUGCCGAACUUACUGGAUAUUAGCAAAAUAACUCCAAACACAAUACAAAAACACUACCAUUUCCAAUUAGAAAAAAGAUAUUAUAUUUAUCCAUACCAAAUAUAUGUCUGUACCGAUUUUUUAUUUUUAAUAAUCAGUUAUACACUUUCCAAACUAUAGAGAAAUGUUAACCCAUAAAAAAACCUUUUCUAUAUCUGAAUCUUUUCUGUAUUCGAACACAAUGUCAGAAACAUAUUGUAAAAUUUUAUUUAUGCAAUUUAAACUACUGCCCUGAUCAUACAUUAACAAAACAUUGGGACAGAGUAACUCAAGAUAUGUAAAAUAUAUUUAAUUUUUCCUCCCAAUAUGCACUUUAUACGAAUAUUAUACGAAUUGUAUAUUUUAACAAACAUCUACACUUAACACGAAAACCCUGUUAGAAGCAGCAAUUGCAUAAAAUAGUAGUAGCAACAAUUUUUAUAAAAGAUGUACAUAUGCGUUUAUACAUUGCAAUUAUAAGAUGAAUUGGGCGUCAACAAGGACAGAUACAAGUCCCUUGCCGACGAAAUGGACUCCACAUUCGCCGAAUUGGCCGGUUAUUAAAUUUCGUAUCUGAGCGACUACUUCUCUAUAUUAUUAUCAACAACAAUAAAACCAACAACAAAGAAUGUUGCACAUGCUGCUACCUGCUGACUUGACCUGGGACCACCAAAGGAAGUAGCUCCGAAGGCAUGCUUGAUAUUAAAAAUAUAUUUAAAACAAUUUAAUAAAUUUAAAUACACUUUUUACUAUUUGUAAAA